AGAGGAUUUUUAAGAAAUCUAGAAACUGUUAGAGGUCAGCAUUCAACAUGAAUAAGAGGGAAGACAAGCCCUGAUAAUGACAAUAUUUCAUCUGAGAACUCUGAAAAUAUAAAACUAUCACUGUAUUGGAAACCGAGACUCAACCUGAAACCCCCAUGCACAGGAAUCUGCUUUGAGUCAAAUGAAACUCAGGAGCACCUUCUGAUUAGGGCAAUGGUCCCCAGCGCUCACCAGAUGUGGUUUGGCUUCUCGGUCUACCAACUGGAGUACUUCAACACCGGCCAUUGUUCUAUAAUUCUCAAUGUUCUGCUGCAUUUCCAUGUGCUCAGGGUUGGCCAU